GUCGAACGCUGGCGGCGUGCCUAAUACAUGCAAGUAGAACGCAGUUGCGAACGGGUGAGUAAAGCGUAGGUAACCUGCCCUAUAGCGGGGGAUAAAUAUUGGCAACGAUAGCCUAUUACGCAUAGUGUGAGCUGGACCUGCGUUGUAUUAGCUAGUUGUUGGGGUAAAGGCUCACCAAGUCGACGAUACAUAGCCGACCUGAGAGGAGGAUCGGCCACACUGGGACUGAGACACGGCCCAGACUCCUACGGGAGGCAGCAGUAGGGAAUCUUCGACAAUGGGCGAAAGCCUGACCGAGCCACGCCACGUGUGUGAAGAAGGCUUUCGGAUCGUAAAGCUCUGUUGUCGGAGAGGCGGUAUCUAACCAAGAAGCCACGGCUAACUACGUGCCAGCCGCCGCGGUAAUAC
rnacentral:rRNA from 1 species